rnacentral:rRNA from 1 species
UACGUAGGGCGCGAGCGUUGUCCGGAAUUAUUGGGCGUAAAGGGCUCGUAGGCGGUUUGUCGCGUCGGGAGUGAAAACCUCGGGCUUAACUCGGGGCUUGCUUUCGAUACGGGCAGACUGGAGGUAUGCAGGGGAGAACGGAAUUCCUGGUGUAGCGGUGAAAUGCGCAGAUAUCAGGAGGAACACCAGCGGCGAAGGCGGCGCUCUGGGCCGGAACUGACGCUGAGGAGCGAAAGCGUGGGUAGCAAACAGG